rnacentral:rRNA from 1 species
UACGGAGGGUGCAAGCGUUAUUCGGAAUUACUGGGCGUAAAGCGUGCGUAGGCGGUUAUGUAAGUCAGUGGUGAAAUCCCAGGGCUCAACCCUGGAACUGCCUUUGAGACUGCAUCGCUUGAAUCCCGUAGAGGUGAGUGGAAUUCCGCGUGUAGCGGUGAAAUGCGUAGAUAUGCGGAAGAACACCGAUGGCGAAGGCAGCUCGCUGGACUGGUAUUGACGCUGAGGCACGAAAGCGUGGGGAGCAAACAGG